UACGUAGGUGGCAAGCGUUGUCCGGAUUUACUGGGCGUAAAGCGUGCGCAGGCGGUGAUGUAAGACCGAUGUGAAAUCCCCGGGCUUAACCUGGGAACUGCAUUGGUGACUGCAUUGCUGGAGUAUGGCAGAGGGGGGUGGAAUUCCACGUGUAGCAGUGAAAUGCGUAGAGAUGUGGAGGAACACCGAUGGCGAAGGCAGCCCCCUGGGCCAAUACUGACGCUCAUGCACGAAAGCGUGGGGAGCAAACAGG
rnacentral:rRNA from 1 species